GACGAACGCUGGCGGCGUGCUUAACACAUGCAAGUCGAACGGAAAGGCCCUGCUUGCAGGGUACUCGAGUGGCGAACGGGUGAGUAACACGUGGGUGAUCUGCCCUCCACUUCGGGAUAAGCCUGGGAAACUGGGUCUAAUACCGGAUAGGAGCCAUUUUUAGUGUGAUGGUUGGAAAGUUUUUUCGGUGUAGGAUGAGCCCGCGGCCUAUUAGCUUGUUGGUGGGGUAAUGGCCUACCAAGGCGGCGACGGGUAGCCGGCCUGAGAGGGUGGACGGCCACAUUGGGACUGAGAUACGGCCCAGACUCCUACGGGAGGCAGCAGUGGGGAAUAUUGCACAAUGGGCGCAAGCCUGAUGCAGCGACGCCGCGUGGGGGAGGACGGCCUUCGGGUUGGAAACUCCUUUCGCUAGGGACGAAGCUUUUUGUGACGGUACCUAGAUAAGAAGCACCGGCUAACUACGUG
rnacentral:rRNA from 1 species